rnacentral:rRNA from 1 species
AGCAGCCGCGGUAAUUCCAGCUCCAAUAGCGUAUAUUAAAGUUGUUGCAGUUAAAAAGCUCGUAGUUGAAUUUCGAGAUCGGCUUACUGGUCGUGCUUUUGUACGUACUGGUAAAUCGGUUUCUCCUUUCUGAUGAACUUUAAUGCCAUUAAUUUGGUGUUUUUAGGGAAUCAGGACUGUUACUUUGAAAAAAUUAGAGUGUUUAAAGCAGGCUCACGCUUGAAUACAUUAGCAUGGAAUAACGGAAUAGGACGUUUGAUUCUAUUUUGUUGGUUUCUAGGAUCGACGUAAUGAUUAAUAGGGAUAGUUGGGGGCAUUAGUAUUCAAUUGUCAGAGGUGAAAUUCUUGGAUUUAUUGAAGACUAACUACUGCGAAAGCAUUUGCCAAGGAUGUUUUCAUUAAUCAAGAACGAAAGUUAGGGGAUCGAAGACGAUCAGAUACCGUCGUAGUCUUAACCAUAAACUAUGCCGACUAGGGAUCGGAUGAUGUUAAUUUUUUUAAUGACUCAUUCGGCGCCUUA